UACAGAGGGGGCAAGCGUUGUUCGGAAUUACUGGGCGUAAAGGGCGCGUAGGCGGCCUUCUAAGUCGAACGUGAAAUCCCCGGGCUCAACCCGGGAACUGCGUCCGAUACUGGAAGGCUUGAAUCCGGGAGAGGGAUGCGGAAUUCCAGGUGUAGCGGUGAAAUGCGUAGAUAUCUGGAGGAACACCGGUGGCGAAGGCGGCGAUCCUGGACCGGUAUUGGACGCUGAGGCGCGAAAGCCAGGGGAGCAAAGCGGG
rnacentral:rRNA from 1 species